AUUUUCUGUUGGCAUUAAGCAAAAAUCAAUAUUUCUUGCUGUUAUGAAUUCCAAAUAAUACUCAAAAUUGUGCAUGCACAUGACAGAAUAAUAAGAUCAUUUUGAUCUUAGUUAAUUAGGGAGCAGGGAUGACGGAGAUUAAUCUUGAUCUCUGCCACUGGCUUCCUUUGUGACCAUGGCCACAUAUUUCCUGUCUUUUUCUUUUUUUAUAGUUGGGAUAAUAAUAAGUCUAAUCUUUCUCAGAAAGAUUUGAUAUAAAAGCUCAGAAUGCUUCCUCCUUUUAACACUCACCGAAUCUUCCCAGAAGGAAUAAAGGGCUCCAAGCCAUCAAAUCUGCAGUGAACAAAAUGGAAGUGCCUUCCAAUCUUGGGUACAUCAGUUCAAGGCUCCUGUUGACCAUGAAAGAUUUGUCUUCAAAAUAAAAACACACACUGAUGGAAGAGGAGGAGAGCAACUCAGUGUUGUGCUGGUACGAAGGCAGUAGAUCUAGCCAGCACGAGGAUGCAGAAGGGGCUUUGCUCCAGCAACCAUCCCAUCUCAGGUUCGAGGAGCGCAUACUAGGCAGCAGGAUGCAAGUGGAUGCCUACGACCUCCCCCAUAUCUAAGGUGAGACUAGUGUAAAGACCAGCAAAGUGUCUUUCAAGUCAUGACCUACAAAAAUGUACCAAGAAAUCUAAG
rnacentral:lncRNA from 1 species